GAUGAAGAACGUAGUGAAAUGCGAUACUUGGUGUGAAUUGCAGAAUCCCGUGAACCAUCGAGUCUUUGAACGCAAGUUGCGCACGAAGCCAUUAGGCCGAGGGCACGCCUGCCUGGGCGUCACACGUCGUUGCCCCCCCAUCUAAUCCUUCGGGAUUGCGGGGGGCGGAUGAUGGCCUCCCGUGCGCCUCGUCGCGCGGUUGGCAUAAAUGCCAAGUCCUCGGCGACGCACGCCACGACAAUCGGUGGUUGCGAAACCUCGGUUGCCCGUCGUGCGCGGUCGUCGCGCAUCGAGGGCUCGAAAAAAUUGCCGGGCUCCGGCUCGACUUUCAACGCGACCCCAGGUCAGGCGGGGUUACCCGCUGAAUUUAAGCAUAUCAAUAAGCGGAGGA
rnacentral:misc_RNA from 1 species